ACUGCAGUGUUUGAAUGAUGACUUGG
rnacentral:piRNA from 1 species